GCGCAUCUCAGCUUUGGUUCAGUCGCACAGAAGCUCCGUCACACCCGUUCCCGGAUCUUCUCGGGGUGUUGCUCGCCUCUCUCCUUUCAAAUCCAAAUCUGCAAUCCGCUAAUUUAGCCAAAGUUUGGAGUUUCUAUCACAUGCUGGUAUCUCAAAACAGAUGGUUAGUGCAGUGAAAUGUGGAAGGAUUCAAGUUGAUGGUGAGAGGGUACCAGUUUCAUACAUAGUUAAAUCAUCACAGAAGAUUAGCCAUUUUGUACACAGAUUUUAGGCAUGAACCGCCUGUGAUGGCUUGCGAGGUUCCGAUUCUCCAAAAAGAACUAGACGUGCUGACUGUUUGUAAACCUGCAUCUGUCCCUUGUAUGGGGAUCCUGAGAAACCAGCUCUGAUCACUUAUCCAGACCUAGCACUAAAUUAUAUGUCAUGUUUCCAAGGAUUAUUUUUCUGUCCAGAGGCAGCUUCUUUGCUGCUUCACAACUUCUGCAUAUAUCAUAUCAGUCCUCCUGG